CUUGCGAUUUAGCUAUCUUAGUGGCGAACGGGUGAGUAGCGCGUGGGUAACCUGCCCUUAAGACCGGGACAACAGCUGGAAACGGCUGCUAAUACCGGAUGUAUUGUCCGAGAGGCAUCUCUUGGAGAAGAAAGCUGGCCUCUGAAAAUGCUAGCGCUUAGGGAUGGACCCGCGUCUGAUUAGCUAGUUGGUGGGGUAGCGGCCCACCAAGGCGACGAUCAGUAGCCGGCCUGAGAGGGUAAACGGCCACACUGGGACUGAGACACGGCCCAGACUCCUACGGGAGGCAGCAGUGGGGAAUCUUCCGCAAUGGACGAAAGUCUGACGGAGCAACGCCGCGUGUAUGAAGAAGGCCUUCGGGUUGUAAAAUACUGUUGUUAGGGAAGAACGGCAUCUGUGUAA
rnacentral:rRNA from 1 species